rnacentral:rRNA from 1 species
CUCUUCGGGGAUGAUUAAACCGGCGCACGGGUGAGUAUCACGUGAGUGACCUGCCUUUUAGACUGGAACAACUUACCGAAAGGUGAGCUAAUGCCGGAUGAGUUAUAUAAGUGCAUGUUCAUAUAGGAAAAGUUGGGGAGACCUGACGCUGAAAGAUGGACUCGCGUCCCAUUAGCUAGUUGGUAGGGUAAUGGCCUACCAAGGCGACGAUGGGUAGCCGGCCUGAGAGGGUGGCCGGCCACACUGGGACUGAGACACGGCCCAGACUCCUACGGGAGGCAGCAGUGGGGAAUUUUGCGCAAUGCUCGUAAGAGUGACGCAGCGACGCCGCGUGAAUGACGAAGGCCUUCGGGUCGUAAAGUUCUUUCGACAGGGAAGAAAAUGCCUAUAAGUAACUGUGUAUGUAUUGACGGUACCUGUAUAAGCAGCCCCGGCUAACUCCGUGCCAGCAGCCGCGGUAAUACGGAGGGGGCGAGCGUUGUUCGGAGUGACUGGGCGUAAAGAGCACGUAGGCGGUGUUGUAAGUCAUUAGUCAAAGACUAGAGCUCAACUUUAGUAAGGCUAGUGAUACUAUAAUACUAGAGUAUCAGAGAGGAUUGCAGAAUUCCUGGUGUAGCGGUGAAAUGCGUAGAUAUCAGGAGGAAUACCGUUAGCGAAGGCGGCAAUCUGGCUGGAAACUGACGCUGAGGUGCGAAAGCGUGGGUAGCAAACAGGAUUAGAUACCCUGGUAGUCCACGCUGUAAACGAUGGAUGCUAG